rnacentral:misc_RNA from 1 species
UUUCCGUAGGUGAACCUGCGGAAGGAUCAUUAUUGUAUAACCGAGGUGCGAGGGCUGUCGCUGACCCGAAAGGUCGUGCACGCCCGAGUGCCCUCACACACAUCCAUCUCACCCCUAUGUGCACCACCGCGUGGGUCCCCCUUUGGCUUGUUCGGAGGGGGGCUUACGUUUUCACACAAACUUUGUAUGCAGUGUAGAAUGUAUUUUUUGUUUUUGCGAUCACGCAAUCAAUACAACUUUCAACAACGGAUCUCUUGGCUCUUGCAUCGUUGAAGAACGCAGC